rnacentral:lncRNA from 1 species
UUUAGGAACAGCAUACAGCCCCCUGCGAGUUGCGCUAAACAUGGGAAACAUUUCAAGCUUCUGCUUCAUGCUCAUAUUGACCGCAUUUCUUAUUCUGGCAGUGAUACAAGAAGAUGGCGGCUCUCUUGUCCUUGCAGGACGUCGACGACGAGGAGGAGGUGGAGGAGCAGGCUAUCAUGGUGGACGGAGAGGCGGCCUUGGCGGAGGGGGUGGAGGCGGUCAAACGAGCAUGGGUCGAUGAGCCACUUCAAAACAAACACAUUGGAGGCUGCCCACCGGCGUUGUCAAUAUGCACCCAAUAAACAGCUACAAGCUCGUUCA